GGGACACGUGGUAUCCUGUCUGAAUAUGGGGGGACCAUCCUCCAAGGCUAAAUACUCCUGACUGACCGAUAGUGAACCAGUACCGUGAGGGAAAGGCGAAAAGAACCCCGGCGAGGGGAGUGAAAAAGAACCUGAAACCGUGUACGUACAAGCAGUGGGAGCACCCUUCGGGGUGUGACUGCGUACCUUUUGUAUAAUGGGUCAGCGACUUAUAUUCUGUAGCAAGGUUAACCGAAUAGGGGAGCCGGAGGGAAACCGAGUCUUAAUUGGGCGUUAAGUUGCAGGGUAUAGACCCGAAACCCGGUGAUCUAGCCAUGGGCAGGUUGAAGGUUGGGUAACACUAACUGGAGGACCGAACCGACUAAUGUUGAAAAAUUAGCGGAUGACCUGUGGCUGGGGGUGAAAGGCCAAUCAAACCGGGAGAUAGCUGGUUCUCCCCGAAAGCUAUUUAGGUAGCGCCUCGUGAAUUCAUCUCCGGGGGUAGAGCACUGUUUCGGCUAGGGGGCCAUCCCGGCUUACCAACCCGAUGCAAACUGCGAAUACCGGAGAAUGUUAUCACGGGAGACACACGGCGGGUGCUAACGUCCGUCGUGAAGAGGGAAACAACCCAGACCGCCAGCUAAGGUCCCAAAGUCAUGGUUAAGUGGGAAACGAUGUGGGAAGGCCCAGACAGCCAGGAUGUUGGCUUAGAAGCAGCCAUCAUUUAAAGAAAGCGUAAUAGCUCACUGGUCGAGUCGGCCUGCGCGGAAGAUGUAACGGGGCUAAACCAUGCACCGAAGCUGCGGCAGCGACACUGUGUGUUGUUGGGUAGGGGAGCGUUCUGUAAGCCUGUGAAGGUGUGUCGUGAGGCAUGCUGGAGGUAUCAGAAGUGCGAAUGCUGACAUAAGUAACGAUAAAGCGGGUGAAAAGCCCGCUCGCCGGAAGACCAAGGGUUCCUGUCCAACGUUAAUCGGGGCAGGGUGAGUCGACCCCUAAGGCGAGGCCGAAAGGCGUAGUCGAUGGGAAACGGGUUAAUAUUCCCGUACUUGGUGUUACUGCGAAGGGGGGACGGAGAAGGCUAUGUUGGCCGGGCGACGGUUGUCCCGGUUUAAGCGUGUAGGUGUGUGUUCCAGGUAAAUCCGGUUCACUUUAACACUGAGGCGUGACGACGAGGCACUACGGUGCUGAAGCAACAAAUGCCCUGCUUCCAGGAAAAGCCUCUAAGCAUCAGGUAACAUCAAAUCGUACCCCAAACCGACACAGGUGGUCAGGUAGAGAAUACCAAGGCGCUUGAGAGAACUCGGGUGAAGGAACUAGGCAAAAUGGUGCCGUAACUUCGGGAGAAGGCACGCUGACACGUAGGUGAAGUGAUUUACUCAUGGAGCUGAAGUCAGUCGAAGAUACCAGCUGGCUGCAACUGUUUAUUAAAAACACAGCACUGUGCAAACACGAAAGUGGACGUAUACGGUGUGACGCCUGCCCGGUGCCGGAAGGUUAAUUGAUGGGGUCAGCGCAAGCGAAGCUCCUGAUCGAAGCCCCGGUAAACGGCGGCCGUAACUAUAACGGUCCUAAGGUAGCGAAAUUCCUUGUCGGGUAAGUUCCGACCUGCACGAAUGGCGUAAUGAUGGCCAGGCUGUCUCCACCCGAGACUCAGUGAAAUUGAACUCGCUGUGAAGAUGCAGUGUACCCGCGGCAAGACGGAAAGACCCCGUGAACCUUUACUAUAGCUUGACACUGAACAUUGAGCCUUGAUGUGUAG
rnacentral:rRNA from 1 species